rnacentral:rRNA from 1 species
CCUACGGGAGGCUGCAGUAGGGAAUUUUCGGCAAUGGGGGGAACCCUGACCGAGCAACGCCGCGUGAAGGAAGAAGGAAUUCGUUCUGUAAACUUCUGUUAUAAAGGAAGAAAGACGGAUGGAGGAAAUGACAUCCGAGUGACGGUACUUUAUGAGAAAGCCACGGCUAACUACGUGCCAGCAGCCGCGGUAAUACGUAGGUGGCAAGCGUUAUCCGGAAUUAUUGGGCGAAAAGAAGGAGCAGGCGGCAGCAAAGGGCUGUGGUGAAAGACUGAAGGUUAACUUCAGUAAGCCAAAGAAAACGGGGAGCUAGAGUGCAGGAAAGGGUCGUGGGAUUCCAUGUGGAGCGGUUAAAUGCG